rnacentral:misc_RNA from 1 species
AGCAAUUUGUGUUGUUAGAUCUGAAAAAAUUUCAUUUCCCAAACAACCACCCACUCGCCGGCCGCCCAGAUCCACCGCCGCUGAUUUCAAAUCUAUGGAUGAUUUUCCUGGUCUCUUGGCCCGGGACUUCGGCUUCAAACCCCAGGGUAAAUCCGCCCCCAUGGCUCCGUCCCGUAAUACCAACACUAACACUAACACUUUCUCCUCUGUCAAUUUCGGUCUCGGAUCCAGUGCUUCUGCUCACUCCCGAUCAUCCUCCGCUUCCAACAAAUCUGCUCCUAUUUUCGAUGAUCAUGAUCACG